rnacentral:rRNA from 1 species
UAUGUUAGUUUAGCAUAAACGUGGUACGGAUACUGGAUGGGGCGAGUGUGCAAGGGAGUUGUCGGUCGGUUUGAGGAGGAGAGAGAGGCAGUAGAGUCUAGGUCGGCGGGGAAGGUAGAGGAGAAGGUGUUGGCCGGUGGCAGGGCUAGACUUCCAGAGGCUGGUCUAGUCGGAGGAGGGGUGGUGCCGCACGCCGCUCCUCAGGGGCCUAGCGAGCGGCAGUGGGUCACGCCACGUCUAGACCAUCAGGCGGGAGUGGUUCGUAAGCUACGCAACUGCCGAGGAUCGUGGUCUAUGGCGCUGCUUGCUCGACACAAGACGGAGGAGGCCGACGGCUCCUGGUGCCUGCGGUGAAGCAGAGUGGCCGACCGAGUCGUAGUCGUGGCUGGUGAUGAGUGUCCACACGUUUUAACAACGAUGCAGUACCUAGAUCAUCGUGUACCUAGAUAGUGAAAACGAGAACCAGAACACAAGAGGUCACGCACUACUUAAACUACUACUACUUUACCUCCGACCUGCUGCAGACGGUGUGCUCAAUUGUACGGUCCGAGGACUGAAUGAAAUCAAGUACAGAAGUACUGGUCGUUCAACAGGACCAAGGACGUAUCUAACAUUAAAACAUCCGUCUUAACAUGUUCUUGAAAAGCCUACAGGGUGAGUAUGAAACGUCUUAAAACUGCUUCCUGAACAUACAAAAUUGUCUUGAGACAAAAUGUCUCAUCUGUGAGACUUAUUUAACGAUUGCUUG